GGAAAAGACAGUGAGUUCAGUCUUGGACAUGUUGGGUUAAAUUUUCAGUAUCCGUGGAAUGUUCAGGUGGAAAUGGCCCUCAGGACUGGAGAGGAGUAUAUCAUUCGUGUGCAAAGAGGAAUUUCCAUAGAAAACAGCUGGCAGAUUGUGAGAAGAUACAGCGACUUUGACUUACUCAACAGCAGUUUGCAGGU